rnacentral:rRNA from 1 species
CCUACGGGAGGCAGCAGUGAGGAAUAUUGGUCAAUGGACGAGAGUCUGAACCAGCCAAGUAGCGUGAAUGAUGACUGCCCUAUGGGUUUUAAACUUCUUUUAUAAAGGAAUAAAACGAGGCACGUGUGCCUUUUUGCAUGUACUUUAUGAAUAAGGAUCGGCUAACUCCGUGCCAGCAGCCGCGGUAAUACGGAGGAUCCGAGCGUUAUCCGGAUUUAUUGGGUUUAAAGGGAACGUAGAUGGGUUGUUAAGUCAGUUGUGAAAGUUUGCGGCUCAACCGUAAAAUUGCAAUUGAUACUGGCAGUCUUGAGUACAGUUGAGGUAGGCGGAAUUCGUGGUGUAGCGGUGAAAUGCUUAGAUAUCACGAAGAACCCCGAUGGCGAAGGCAGCUUACUAAACUGUGACUGACAUUGAUGCUCGAAAGUGUGGGUAUCAAACAGGAUUAGAUACCCGAGUAGUC